AGUACAAAUUUUUGGUAAUUUUAUUUACCAAACCCAAUUUAAGGUUGAAUCGCGCAACCACGCAUGUAUCUGAUAAGUAAAAGAAAUUGGAAUCUAUAGAAAUAAGUAAUUCCAUACUAUUUUAUUUCAAAAAAAUCAUAAUAACAGUCAGUUUUAUGAUGGACAGUGGUAUCAUAUUGAAAAAUCCCACAUUUAUAAAUAAUUGGAGUUAUAUUUACAUGUGUCUUUUUAUUUUAUAAAAGAAGUAUUUUUCAACAUUUCAAUUUUAUAGAUAUAUAAGAAUUAAAUAUUACAUAGUUGUUUAAAUUUGGCAUGUCUUCACAUAAACAUUCUUAUUGUUUAUAUGUUAUAAUUUAUUGUUUAGAUUAUUCAGUUCCUUGGUUGUGUAUAUGAACUUAUUUGUACUUUGUAAAAAUUUGGAAUAUAAAUAAUUAACAUGUACAUAUAUAUUUGUACAGAAACUUUAUUACAAUCACUGAAAAAAUAAUUACAAUCAUUCAAAAACUUUGAAUUAAGUGGCCAUUGUACGUUGGGCCAUGGUAAUUCAUGAGAAAACAAAUUUUAAUUUGGGCCAUAGUAUCUUAUUAUAUAAAGAGAUGUUUGUCUCUCUCACGUUCGUCCACGUCACCCUCCACGUAUGAAAAUAGAGCAUCCUCCAGCCAACACGUGUCCAUGCGAAAGAAACGCUCCGUUUCAUUUAUUUGUGUAUGCAAUACAUGUGGGCUUUAGUGUGUAUUUGGGCUUAAUGAAUCCAAUCCGGAUAAAGAAACUCCAACUUUUAUGGAAACGCGUCGUUUCUGAUUUAGGGUAACACGUUCUUCAUUUCCCCCAUUCGAGAGCUAAUCUCAACCUAAGGUUUCUCUGGUGCUGUUUCAUCUUCUUCAUAACAAUCCUAGAAACUAUCAGUUACAAAUUCAUCCUCUUAAAUCCACCACCCACGAUCUACCUUGAAUGAGAUCUUCACGUAAGGCUGUGGAAUUACAACUAUAAAAAGAUUUGAAGACCGGAUGAGUACGGCACAGUAGGAGGAGGAAAGCGGUAGCGACAGAGGAGAGGAGGAUCAAGGCAAUUAGGGACCAGCCGUGUCCGGUUUGAAUCCAGUUGUUUAUUGUAAUUUUUCCGUCCUGUUCAUCAUUAUUUUGAACACACAGGGUGAUUAGAUUCAUAUUUAUCAGAAUUAUGCUUUUAGUAUCAUAGUUUUCCUUUUUACAAUAUGAUUUGAAUCUGUUGUUUAUUAUUUUAUUAUUUUUGGUAAUCGGUUUCAGGCAACAUUCAUUCCAGUGUUCAUGUCUUCCCACUUAUAAGUGACUGGGUUCUAUGUUUUACUUUGAUUUCACUUGGUGUAAUCAGAACUUUUGACUGUAGACUCUCUUCAAUUGAUGCGGUCCAGUGAUGAACCCGGUUUGAUGAGUUAACCGAACCGAUUACACCCAUUCCUGAAGAACACUUCGGGUUCCGUAAUCACAGUGAACUGCUUUGCAUAAUCAACACCAAUACCUUGACAAAGUCUUAUUUUGUUUCUUGAUGAGCUACUGCUCAAAAUCUUGAAUCUUUUUUUUUUGUUUAGGUAAAUGUAUGAACUCCAAGAGUUUCUGAAACAAGCGUGAGGAGAACAGCAGUUUGAGGAAGGAAUGGUAGUUUAUUGGAUUGUUGAAGAUGGCUGUCAAUGAAGGUAUUAACUUAGCUAUCAGACUUGGUGUGAAGUGAUCCUUAUGUUGUCUUCAAUCUAGGGAAGCAAAAACUUCAAACAGCAGUUGUGAAUAGUAAUUUGAACCCGUAUGGAAUCAAGAACUUAUGAUGUCUGUUCCUAAGAGCUAUGGUCAUCAAGUUGAUAUCCAGCCUCUGAUACAUUCUCUGCUGAUGACAAAAUGUGAGAAGCUCAACUUGAUAUCCAGCCUCUGCUGAUGACAUAAAUUAUGAUACAUUCUCUGCUGAUGACAUAAUGGGAGAAACUCAACUUGAUAUCCAGCCUCUGAUAACAUCUGCAAUGGCGUUUGAGGAUCCAUAGAUGUUUGGGGAUAUGCAGAUUGGGAAAUGGCUAAAGUUGCAUGAUAAUCUGCCAAUAGAUGACAGCAUCAUUAACAUUGUUGAUGGGAAAGUGAAGCAUGCAUGAGGUUUAGAUCAAGCUUCAAGAUGUAGAGUCUGUAGAAUUCGAGAUGGAAAUGGAAUGGCUACCACUCGACCAAUAAUACUAAUACCAGUAGGUUCCACUUUAUAAACUUACACUUUUUGCAAUACAUACAUUCCUUUUUUUUUUGUUGAAACAUUUUUAGAUCUCUCAUUUCCUUACACAAAAAUGUAUGUUUGUAAUAUUUUGUUUCUUGGUGGCUAUAUCUUACAAAGUUACUGAUAAGAACUUGCGAAUAUAUUGAUCAACAACACAAAAGAACUAAGAACCUAGGGAUUGUGCAAGAGUCCCUAACUCUCCCAGAUACAUCCACCACAAGAUGCAUAAUGAUUCAGUUACAAUCGAUCAACUAUAUAUAGUGAUCUGACUCUCUAAUACUUACAACUCUAACUGAAUCUUUACUUUCUUCUACAGAUGCCAGGUCACUCUUUAUCUUCUUAUUCUUAUGCAAGUGCCAUGUCAGCAGCUCCUCACGUAUCAGUUACACACUUUUGUAUACGGUUGACUUACACUCUAGAAAUAUAUUUAUCUAAAUACUCAUAAUUAAUAUAUGGUUUCAUUGUAUUUACCAAACUUAAAAUAAUGUUCUGUAACAGUGAAUUUUAUAUUUACUUAUUGGAUUGUUUUAGUGAUUCCAAACAAAUAAAAAUAAAAUAAACUAUCAAUAAUUUCAAAAGUAUGUACAAAAAAGAAACAAAUCAAUGUUUUGAGGAUUCAACCUAACUGAAAUAAUAAAAAUUAUAUUCUAUUUGUUAUAUAUAUAUAAAUUAUACUCUCUUUGCUAUAUAAAUUAUACUGAUAUAUGUUGUUGUAUGUAUUAUUUAUAGUUAUUGUGUGUUGUCUUUGAGAAAGCACAAACGAUUAUCAGACAUAACGUGUUGAAGAAGUCAUAGGCUUUAUCGGUUACAUUUUUACUCAUGGGUCUUCAUGUCAAGACGUUGCAAAGAGCCUAAGCGUCGUAUUAGAGUGUGAUCAUAAUCAAGUUUUGUUUCCCUAAGAACCUUCGUGGGUGUCAUCAAACAAAUCCUUAUUUGAUAAACUGAUAAUCACCUUUUUGUAUAUAUGAUUAACUGAUAUGAACUUUUAAUUCUCAUGCCUAUCAUUAGUUAGGUAUCUUCACUAUUAUUAAAAUAGUUAAAAUAUGGAAAAACUUAUUCGGUUAUAUUUACUACAUAAUACUAAACUAAACUAACUUUUGUAAGAAAAUGUAAAUGUUGAUAAAUUUCACGAAAAUUCACAUAUACCAAAAACAAAAUUAUGGUGAUGAUUAUUUAGUUAGUUUUUAGUUUUUGGCGUUUGGUUUUUAGUUUUUUGAAUUUAGUUUUUAAUUUUUGGUUUUUAAUUUUACAGUAACUUUUGGUUUUUUUUUUAAACCUGAAUGGUUGUUUUAGACUUUGAUUUUAGAGUUUGAAACAAUUACUAUUAUCACUAAAAUAAAUAAUUAUAUAUUAAAAUUUAUUUUAAAAUAAACAACAAAAGGAAACUUUUAUAAAAUAAAAACGAAUAGCUACAUGUAUACCUACAUAGAUAACUAAAUUAAACUUACAAAACAAACAAAAUAAAAAUUUAAUUAUAUUUUAUAAAAUACGGUAAGAAUGAAUAAACUUUAUUAAAUUCCAGAUUUAAAAAAUAAAUAUUAAUAUCUGGAAUUUUAAAUUUUAUAUUAACAGACUAAACUAUUUUUUUAAAUGGUAUAAAUGCAUAAAAUUUAUAUAGUUAUAACAUACAAAGUAAUAGCUAGAUUCUAAAUUUUAUUUAUAGUCUAUCCAAUUAUUUAUUUUAAAUAUUAGUUACAAGUAAAUUAUUUUAAUAAAUGUGAAAUUACUGAACCAAUAAAUAAAAAAUUAACUAUUUAUAUAUUAUCAGCAAAAAUAUGCAGAUUUGUUUAUUUUGAAUUUUAAAAUAAAUAAACAAGUUAAUAUAUUAAUACAUAUAUAUAUAUAUAUAUAUAUAUAUAUAUACACAAAUAUUUUAAGAAGAAUAAAAAAAUGCAAAACCCACGUAUAAUGUUGAAAAAACUAUAUAAAAUAAUCAAUAUUUUGAGUAUUAAACCUAAGCACAACAAUAAAAACUCAAAUCUACUUCUUAUAUAUAAGAAAAGUUGAGCAAAUAUUUAAGAAAACGUAUACCAUUUCAAUAAUGAAAAUCAUAUCAUGCUAAUACAAACUUAUAAUCUCUAACAAAACUAAUAAAAAUAUAAAAAAAUAAAAAGGUUUAGUUAGACAUAUGUGAAGAUGAUGUGUGCUCAUUAUAAAAAAAAUAUAACAAAAAAAAGAGAUAAUAAUAAAAUUGUAUAAUGUGAGAAAAUGUAUUUGAAAACAAAUAAAAAAACAUAAAACAAGUUAGAAAAAUAAACAAAUAUCCAACAUUAAGUAAAAUGAAUGUAAUAUUUCUCAUCACUUAAAAUUUUCUAAAAUAUAAAAAUCAUUAUUAUACACAUCAAUUGCAAAUGCAAAUCUAAAACACAAACCACAAAAUAAUACAUAAAAUAAAAAUCCAGAUAACAAAUAAAGUAUAUCCCGCCCGUAGGGCGGGCCGACCCUAGUUAUUAUAAUAGUUACGUCAUCAGCCUAUUAGGUUCUGUUUGUUUUUGUUCCGGGAACAAACAAACCUUUUGUGAACAGAAAAAAAAAGGUUUUCGUUUCAUUCUAAACAGAGGUUAUCUCUGUCGUCCUCAACCUCGUCUCUGUUUCUCAUCGCAACUCCAGACAUAGAGACCAAACAAUGGAAGAUCGACGGCCAAAGCGAAUCAAUUAAGCAACAUAGUGACUCAAUAACACUUAUAUACAAGAUCAGCGGUAGUAUGUAUGAUAUAUACCUGAAAUCGAAGAAGAUAAAACUAAUCUCUAUAUUUGGGGAGUGGAGGAUGUAGAUCCGAGUGUAGGUGAAGGAUUGUCGUUUAAGGAGAUAGUGAGAGCGAUUCAGAAGUGAGGAGAAGUGUAUGAGAUGAUCGAAGGUGCAAAGCAGAGGAUGAUGAUUGAGUUGAAGAAACAGAGGAUGGAAACUGCAAAGGAGCUUGAGUUGCAACAAAUGAAAAUGUCAGUGGAUAUGCAGAUGGAGCUUGAAAAAAUCCAAUCUUGGCAAACAUAGAGCUGCUGCUUCAGGUAGCAGAGUGGAACUUUCCUUCGGUUAAGGAUGCUGCAGACGUGGUGAUUGCUACUAUGAUGUCUGGAAUACAGAGACCAGCUAAUGUAUGGAAUACCAAGACCCUUGAAGCGGAUAGACAGAGCCCGGCUUCACUUUUAAAAACAGGGAUACAUCAUCUGCAAGCCUUUGAUCGGCAUGAAGUAUUAGUAGACCAACUAAUCUGUUAUGGAGAAAGAGAAGUACAGUCAUCAUAAGUGAUAUAAAGAGAAACUCUGACUGAUCAAGACAAAGACAGAGAGAUGAGAAUAACUUGUGACAUCAGAGAGCAUAAGGAAGGAAGACCAAUGAGUUAGUCAACAACCUUGACAACAAAUAAACUUUGAAUACGGUUAGUAAUUACUUAUCUAUCAUAACUAAUUGAUAACUUGAAAGCAAUGUAAAAAUAUUUAGAAUAACUUAGAUUAUGAAAAAAAAUUGGCUUAAGUAUAGAUGUUGGGCUAAUACUUGUUUUAGGGAUGCAAACCAGCUACUCUUUCUUCACGAUCUUGUAUAACAUUGCAUUUGUCAUCAUUUUGAUAGCUGAUAUCAUGUCAUUCUAAAUGUGACGCAUGUUUGAGUUGGACGUUCUGAGGACAAAAUUGCAGCAAUCCAGGCAACACCUGCC